CGGGCAGUAGCGCAGCUUGGUAGCGCAUCAGUCUGGGGGACUGGGGGUCGCAGGUUCAAAUCCUGUCUGCCCGACCA
rnacentral:tRNA from 1 species